GGAGCGGGAGAGAGAAGCUAGAGGAGCAUGACUUUGUAAAUUAACCACAAGGAAGACUGGGAAGGAAUGUUAUAGAAAAGAACAGUUGCAUAUGGGUUCUGCUAGUUCUGUUGCAUUCAGAAAUAUGUUUACAGUGGUGCCAAUGGGCAGAUGCGUGUGAUUUUCUUCAAUGACGCUCAGAUCAGAUGUGGAAGUGGACAAAGUAGAGAGCUGGGCUGCUCCCAGGCUGGCAGUGUGUGCAGAGCAGAUGCCACAAAACGCAACAGAUGACAAAGCAUGACUUUCCAAGAAAUGCAAGGGGACUGCCUGCAGUCCUGGACUCAUGACUGCCUACCGCCAUCUUCAAAACCAGCAGCGGAAGAGUCCUCACACCCCAUGACCUUUGACCUCCUUUUUCUGCCUCCCUCUUCUACUUUUAAGGACUCUUGUGAGUACAUUGGGCCCACCCAAGUCAUCCAGGAUAUCUUCCCUAUUUUAAGGUCAACUGGUUCCAUCUGCUACUUUAAGUUCUCUUUGCCAUGGAGUGGAACAUGGAACAGGUUCCUGGGAUCGUGAUACGGACAUGGGACAUGGACAUGGGACAUGGUAACGACAACAGAUUGAAACACAUCAAAUAUGUUUAAGUACAUAAGCUCAAAAUGAUAUUAAGACAAACAAAGCUCACUGUGAGGAAACUGACAUAGUGUUUGAAGGACUGGUAAAUAAAGGGAAACGUUCAAGUAUUCAUCCUGCCCAUCCCGCACAAACUGGACCUUGGUAACCAAAAAGUUGAUAAAGGAAAAGUUUUAUUUA